rnacentral:rRNA from 1 species
GAUGAACGCUGGCGGCGUGCCUAACACAUGCAAGUCGAGCGAACGGACGAGAAGCUUGCUUUUCUGAUGUUAGCGGCGGACGGGUGAGUAACACGUGGAUAACCUACCUAUAAGACUGGGAUAACUUCGGGAAACCGGAGCUAAUACCGGAUAAUAUUUUGAACCGCAUGGUUCAAAAGUGAAAGACGGUCUUGCUGUCACUUAUAGAUGGAUCCGCGCUGCAUUAGCUAGUUGGUAAGGUAACGGCUUACCAAGGCAACGAUGCAUAGCCGACCUGAGAGGGUGAUCGGCCACACUGGAACUGAGACACGGUCCAGACUCCUACGGGAGGCAGCAGUAGGGAAUCUUCCGCAAUGGGCGAAAGCCUGACGGAGCAACGCCGCGUGAGUGAUGAAGGUCUUCGGAUCGUAAAACUCUGUUAUUAGGAAAGAACAUAUGUGUAAGUAACUGUGCACAUCUUGACGGUACCUAAUCAGAAAGCCACGGCUAACUCCGUG